UGAGCCACAGCAGUGACAAUGUUGAAUCCUUAACCACUAGGCCAUCAGGGAACUCCCUAGAUGAUUAGCAGAAUUUUGUUGGGUCUAGAGCCUACAGCGUAUACAUUCUGGUUUCAACACUUUUUUCCUCAAAAAUCAUAAAUCUGAUGACCUGUUUUGGUGCUUCCCGCUUUCACACUAGUGGAGGGAAUAUGUGACCAAGAUACAAUGGCCACUCAUAGUUAGUGCACUCAUAAUUAGCGCAUAAUUAGUAUCCCUUAUAUCUAUGAGCAUAAUUUAAUAUUUACAUUACUACUUACCCUCUAGGUAAACUAUUAUUCUGCUGUGAGAAUAAUUUUAUUUUGGAUGAGAUGAAUACACCAAGGGUUAACUGUAUCUGAUAGAAUAAGAAGCACAUUUCUGGGGCACCUAUGAUAUGCUAGGUACUUUUAUGUGUUUGGAAUAAACUAUUCACUUACACUAAUUUUUCAAAAACCAUGUCCAAUCACACUGUAGUGAGAAAUGUCAGCUUGAAUAAUGAAGACAAUAUUGUAGAUGCAGGAAGAUCACUCAGUGAACACAGGGAAGCAGGGUUUGUAUCAAUUAUGGCCCAAGAGACGGUCUGCCAUCUAGUGCGCUUUUGCUGGAGAAGCAUUUGUACCCUAGAGUGUGCUAUCAGCACCUUCUAGUUUGUAAAGGAAACUGGCCUGUGCACACCCCUAUGGGAUAUGGUUCAUCUAUAGGAAUGUAAGUGUCAAAGAUGCUGCAAAAUCCAGGCCUUCAACAGAGCCCGCUUGUUUACCUUAGCACAGAUGUUUACCCCUACUUUAGUUAACAUCCUCUCUAGUAACAGAUGAAAGAAAUAAUUACAACACACACUGUGUUUAUUUUAUAGAAAGAGGAUUAACAUACAAAUUUACCUUCUCCUUUGAAAAUUUCUUUUAAGCAGAUAGAUCUCUGCAGGCACUUAGGAGAUAGAAACUGUAUCUACAUAUAAAAGGGGAAUGAGGGAAUUAAGACUGUUAUCAGGAAAGUGCAACCCCACACUCCCCUCUCUUUAAACGACUGCUAUUGAAAGUUCAGUGAGGAAAAUCUAGAUAGCCUCCAUAUGCUGCGGGAGCGGCCCUAGAAAAGGCAAAAAGACAAAAAAAAAAAAAAAAAAAAAAAAAAAUUCCUCUCCUACAAAUCUAUAUUAGCAUAUGAAUGGACUCAAGACCAAUGUGAUAGGUUGAGAGUCUCUAAAGUUUAGAUUCUAAGUAGUCCAUAUCAGCAAAAUAUUUAUAAUUUCUAAUUAUAGUUUUGCAUUGCAGAUAGUAUCAUUUAUACAGCUUUAGACCUAAUCUUUGCCCAUCUCAAUUUUUCUAUUAGUUCAAAUACAAAUAAAAUUUUAUGAAAUGUACCUUGGUUUUAUACAAUCAAAUAGUUCUUUCCAAUCUCUCCUUUAUUGAUAAAUCUUUUAUAUCUUCUGACUUAUAUUUAUCUAUGUAUUAAUCAUAUCACCUUUUUUUUCUUGGGUUACUAGUUUUUGUAAAGAAAAUCCAUAUAAAAAUUAAGAAAGCUGGGUUGUAUUUCCAAGUAUAACUCAUUUAAUUUAGCACUUCUGAAGUCUUCUAUUUGUUUUAUUAUAAGAUGAUGUGAUUUUAUGGAGACUCUGAUAACCAACAUUUCUUAAUCAACACAAUUACAUUAAUUAGAAUUAAAUUAUAAUGAAAUUACAAUUCUUGAUACUUUUAAGUGACUUAUUAUUGAUAACUAAAAUUCCUUACUUGUGUAAAUUUCUCUGAUUCAGGUGUUUCAAAGGUAUUUAAUUUCUUUGAUGAAAAGCAGUCAAAAAUUCACUUAUUUUUCUUUUUAUCUGGAGGAAUUUGUGAGAUAUCUAUUAUAAAGUCAGUCCAUGACUUAGUAAAUUUUCUUCAGAAUUUCUUUUUAAACAUGUGGAUUUUUUUUCUCAUCUUUUGCUACUAAGUGGAACAUUGGUUAGUCCUCAGUUGGGUAAAUGCAUUUAUUAUGGUAACUGCCUCUUUAAUCUAUUGAUUUUUUCUUUAGUAUGAUAUAUCCCAAAUUACUCCAGAUUUUUUUGUUUUGUUUUGGUGUGUUUUGCUUUUUUUUAUAUUUUUUGUUUGUUUUUUUAGGACCAACCCAUGGCAUAUGGAGGUUCUCAGGAUAAAGGUCGAAUCAGAGCUAUAGCCGCCAGCCUAUCCACAGCCACAGCAACACUAGAUCCAAGGCACAUCUGCAAACUACACCACAGUUCAUGGCAAUGCCAGAUCCUUAACCCACUGAGUGAGGCCAGGGAUCAAACCUGCCUCCUCAUGGAUACUAGUCAGAUUCAUUUCUGCUGAGCCACGAUGGGAACACCACAAAUAAUUCCGGAUUGAUUCAGGGAUGUAAAUUACUACAUAGAAGCAAAAUAUUAUGUUAAAAUAGUUGUGAUUUACUCCAUGGAUAUGUAUCGUAUACUAAUGAUAAUAUCUGCUUCUGAUAUUUUAAACUCAAAAUGGAGAAAUUCAUUCAAGAAGUAUUGGUAGUAUAAUAUGUUUUGAAUUCCUGAAUUCCUGAUAGUAGGCAAUGUUUUAAGUACUUUAAACAUUUUUGCUUAUGAAAUACAACUUUUAUAAGAUAUAAGGGUAUCUUUAGCUAUGUUUUAUCAGUAAAGAAAUUAAGACAGAUAAAUUUUAAUAACAAAACCUGGUAGUCUAUAAACCUGAAUAUUAGUGAGUUUGAACUUAGGGAGCAAAAGACAAAUGCCUCUCUGAAUUCCAUGUCUCAAGAUUUAGUACAUAGAUUAUACCUCCUCAAGAAUGAAGUAAUGAGGAGUUUCUGCUGUGAGGCAGCAGAAACAAAUCCAACUAAUAUCCAUGAGAAUGCGCGUUCAGUCUCUGUCCUUGCUCAGUGGGUUGGGGAUCUGGUGUUGCUGGGAGCUGUGGUGUAGGCCACAGACAUGGCUCUGAUCCUGCAUUCUGUGGCUGUGGCAUAGACUGGCAGCUAUAGCUCCAAUUAGACCCCUAGCCUGGGAACCUCCAUAUACCAUCAGUGAGGC
rnacentral:lncRNA from 1 species